UACGUAGGGGGCAAGCGUUGUCCGGAAUCAUUGGGCGUAAAGAGCGUGUAGGCGGCCCGAUAAGUCCGCUGUGAAAGUCCAGGGCUCAACCCUGGGAUGCCGGUGGAUACUGUCGGGCUCGAGUCCGGAAGAGGAGUGUGGAAUUCCUGGUGUAGCGGUGAAAUGCGCAGAUAUCUGGAGGAACACCGGUGGCGAAGGCGGCGUUCUGGACUGUAACUGACACUGAGAAACGAAAGCCAGGGUAGCAAACGGG
rnacentral:rRNA from 1 species